AUACUUUUCUAAGUACUAACAGUUUGUUUGUAUUGAAUAGGUUCACUUCAAAAGUGAAUUGUUGCAGACUUUCAUAGGGGGCAAUGACACCACAAUAGAAGAAAACAACAAGCAACUCAUAAAAAGAAAAGCUAGGGGCAAAGCAAGCAGAAAAGCAAAGAAGUUCAACAAGGGGAAAGAUAUUUAGUAGUUGACACCAAAAUUGGCAGUAGAUCAGUAAUUAUAAAUGAGUAGUUUAGUUAGAUACUCAAGACCUCAUCAUCAUUUUAGUUGCACUUGUACCAAAGCUAUUGAGUUUUUUUCACAAUAGAAAAUAUAGGACAAAAAUGAAAA